UACGAACCGUCCAAACGUUAUUCGGAUUCAUUGGGCUUAAAGGGUACGUAGGCGGCGCUUCAAGUCGGGUGUGAAAUCCCUCGGCUCAACCGAGGAACUGCGCCCGAUACUGGAGUGCUCGAGGGAGACAGAGGUAAGCGGAACUGAUGGUGGAGCGGUGAAAUGCGUUGAUAUCAUCAGGAACACCAGUGGCGAAAGCGGCUUACUGGGUCUCUUCUGACGCUGAGGUACGAAAGCUAGGGGAGCGAACGGG
rnacentral:misc_RNA from 1 species